rnacentral:rRNA from 1 species
CCUACCUAUAAGACUGGGAUAACUUCGGGAAACCGGAGCUAAUACCGGAUAAUAUAUUGAACCGCAUGGUUCAAUAGUGAAAGACGGUUUUGCUGUCACUUAUAGAUGGAUCCGCGCCGCAUUAGCUAGUUGGUAAACGGCUUACCAAGGCAACGAUGCGUAGCCGACCUGAGAGGGUGAUCGGCCACACUGGAACUGAGACACGGUCCAGACUCCUACGGGAGGCAGCAGUAGGGAAUCUUCCGCAAUGGGCGAAAGCCUGACGGAGCAACCGUGAGUGAUGAAGGUCUUCGGAUCGUAAAACUCUGUUAUUAGGGAAGAACAAAUGUGUAAGUAACUAUGCACGUCUUGACGGUACCUAAUCAGAAAGCCACGGCUAACUACGUGCCAGCAGCCGCGGUAAUACGUGGCAAGCGUUAUCCGGAAUUAUUGGGCGUAAAGCGCGCGUAGGCGGUUUUUUAAGUCUGAUGUGAAAGCCCACGGCUCAACCGUGGAGGGUCAUUGGAAACUGGAAAACUUGAGUGCAGAAGAGGAAAGUGGAAUUCUGUGUAGCGGUGAAAUGCGCAGAGAUAUGGAGGAACACCAGUGGCGAAGGCGACUUUCUGGUCUGUAACGACGCUGAUGUGCGAAAGCGUGGGGAUCAAACAGGAUUAGAUACCCUGGUAGUCCACGCCGUAAACGAUAGUGCUAAGUGUUAGGGGGUUUCCGCCCCUUAGUGCUGCAGCUAACGCAUUAAGCACUCCGCCUGGGGAGUACGACCGCAAGGUUGAAACUCAAAGGAAUUGACGGGGACCCGCACAAGCGGUGGAGCAUGUGGUUUAUCGAA